ACGGGAGGCAGCAGUGGGGAAUAUUGCACAAUGGGCGCAAGCCUGAUGCAGCAACGCCGCGUGAGGGAUGACGGUUUUCGGAUUGUAAACCUCUGUCUUUGGUGACGAAGAAGUGACGGUAGCCAAGGAGGAAGCCACGGCUAACUACGUGCCAGCAGCCGCGGUAAUACGUAGGUGGCAAGCGUUAUCCGGAAUUACUGGGUGUAAAGGGAGCGCAGGCGGGACAGCAAGUCAGCGGUGAAAUGUAUGGGCUCAACCCAUGAACUGCCGUUGAAACUGUUGUUCUUGAGUGGAGUAGAGGUAGGCGGAAUUCCGAGUGUAGCGGUGAAAUGCGUAGAUAUUAGGAGGAACACCAGUGGCGAAGGCGGCUUGCUGGACGACAACUGUCGCUGAGGCGCGAAAGCGUGGGGAGCAAACAGGAUUAGAUACCCUGGUA
rnacentral:rRNA from 1 species